rnacentral:rRNA from 1 species
AGUGGACGCUGGCGGUAGGCCUAACACAUGCAAGUCGAACGGCAGCACAGUAAGAGCUUGCUCUUACGGGUGGCGAGUGGCGGACGGGUGAGGAAUACAUCGGAAUCUACUUUUUCGUGGGGGAUAACGUAGGGAAACUUACGCUAAUACCGCAUACGACCUACGGGUGAAAGCAGGGGAUCUUCGGACCUUGCGCGAUUGAAUGAGCCGAUGUCGGAUUAGCUAGUUGGCGGGGUAAAGGCCCACCAAGGCGACGAUCCGUAGCUGGUCUGAGAGGAUGAUCAGCCACACUGGAACUGAGACACGGUCCAGACUCCUACGGGAGGCAGCAGUGGGGAAUAUUGGACAAUGGGCGCAAGCCUGAUCCAGCCAUACCGCGUGGGUGAAGAGGGCCUUCGGGUUGUAAAGCCCUUUUGUUGGGAAAGAAAAGCAGCAGGUUAAUACCCCGCUGUUCUGACGGUACCCAAAGAAUAAGCACCGGCUAACUUCGUG